rnacentral:rRNA from 1 species
UACUGAAAGAGUUUUCGGACGAUGGAAGUAGAGGAAAGUGGCGGACGGGUGAGUAACGCGUGAGGAACCUGCCUUGAAGAGGGGGACAACAGUUGGAAACGACUGCUAAUACCGCAUGAAGCAUAGGGGUCGCAUGAUUCUUAUGCCAAAGAUUUAUCGCUUCAAGAUGGCCUCGCGUCUGAUUAGCUAGUUGGCGGGGUAACGGCCCACCAAGGCGACGAUCAGUAGCCGGACUGAGAGGUUGAACGGCCACAUUGGGACUGAGAUACGGCCCAGACUCCUACGGGAGGCAGCAGUGGGGAAUAUUGGGCAAUGGGCGCAAGCCUGACCCAGCAGCGCCGCGUGAAGGAAGAAGGCUUUCGGGUUGUAAACUUCUUUUAAGAGGGAAGAGCAGAAGACGGUACCUCUAGAAUAAGCCACGGCUAACUACGUGCCAGCAGCCGCGGUAAUACGUAGGUGGCAAGCGUUGUCCGGAUUUACUGGGUGUAAAGGGCGUGCAGCCGGGUCUGCAAGUCAGAUGUGAAAUCCAUGGGCUCAACCCAUGAACUGCAUUUGAAACUGUAGAUCUUGAGUGUCGGAGGGGCAAUCGGAAUUCCUAGUGUAGCGGUGAAAUGCGUAGAUAUUAGGAGGAACACCAGUGGCGAAGGCGGAUUGCUGGACGAUAACUGACGGUGAGGCGCGAAAGUGUGGGGAGCAAACAGG